rnacentral:rRNA from 1 species
UGGCGGACGGGUGAGUAACGCGUGGGUAACCUGCCCUGUACAGGGGGAGUAACAGUUGGAAACGGCUGCUAAUACCGCAUAAGCGCACGAGAGGACAUCCUCUUGUGUGAAAAACUCCGGUGGUACAGGAUGGGCCCGCGUCUGAUUAGCUGGUUGGCAGGGUAACGGCCUACCAAGGCGACGAUCAGUAGCCGGUCUGAGAGGAUGAACGGCCACAUUGGAACUGAGACACGGUCCAA